rnacentral:rRNA from 1 species
AAGUCAUAUGCUUGUCUUAAAGAUUAAGCCAUGCAUGUCUAAGUAUAAAUAGUAUACAGUGAAACUGCGAAUGGCUCAUUAAAACAGUUAUAGUUUAUUUGAUAGUGCAAAUUACAUGGAUAACCGUGGUAAUUCUAGAGCUAAUACAUGCGCAAAUACCGGACGCAAGAAUGGUAGCAUUUAUUAGAUUUAACCAUCAUAUGGUGAAUCAUAGUAACUUAGCUGACCGCGUGUAUACGUGGUAAAUCAUUCAAGUUUCUGCCCUAUCAGCUUUCGAUGGUAGUGUAUUGGACUACCAUGGCAGUCACGGGUAACGGAGAAUUAGGGUUCGAUUCCGGAGAGGGAGCCUGAGAAACGGCUACCACAUCUAAGGAAGGCAGCAGGCGCGUAAAUUACCCAAUCCCGAUUCGGGGAGGUAGUGACAAGAAAUAGCAACUCGUGCGGGUUUCCGUUACGGGAUUGCAAUGAGAUAAGUCCAAAUCCGUAAACGAUUAACAAUUGGAGGGCAAGUCUGGUGCCAGCAGCCGCGGUAAUUCCAGCUCCAAUAGCGUAUACUUAAGUUGUUGCAGUUAAAAAGCUCGUAGUUGAAAUUCGAGUCAGUUACUAGUUGGCUUUUCGUCAGUUAGUUAAUUGAUUCUCCGUCUACAAUCCCUUUUGCGCUUUAGGGUUGCAGCUGGGCGAGUAGACAAUUUACCUUGAAAAAAUUAGAGUGUUCCAGGCAGGUCUUCGCCGGAAUACAUUAGCAUGGAAUAAUGGAAUAGGACUUGGGUCUUUUGUUGGUUUUAGGACUUGAGUAAUGAUUAAUAGGGACAGAUGGGGGCAUUAGUAUUUAAUUGUCAGAGGUGAAAUUCUUGGAUUUAUUAAAGACUAACUUAUGCGAAAGCAUUUGCCAAGGAUGUUUUCAUUAAUCAAGAACGAAAGUUAGGGGAUCAAAGACGAUCAGAUACCGUCGUAGUCUUAACUAUAAACUAUACCGACUCGAGAUCGGAAGGGUAAUAUAUUAGUCCCUUUCGGCAUCGUAAGAGAAAUCAAAGUCUUUGGGUUCUGGGGGGAGUAUGGUCGCAAGGCUGAAACUUAAAGGAAUUGACGGAAGGGCACCACCAGGAGUGGAGCCUGCGGCUUAAUUUGACUCAACACGGGGAAACUUACCAGGUCAAAACAUGGAUGGGAUUGACAGAUUGAAAGCUCUUUCUUGAUUCUAUGGGUGGUGGUGCAUGGCCGUUCUUAGUUGGUGGAGUGAUUUGUCUGGUUAAUUCCGAUAACGAACGAGACCUUAACCUGCUAACUAGUUUGCUUCUGAAUAAGAGGUAUAACUUCUUAGAGGGACUAUGUAUGUAAGUGCAUGGAAGUUUAAGGCAAUAACAGGUCUGUGAUGCCCCUAGACGUCCUGGGCCGCACGCGCGCUACACUGACACGUUCAGCGAGCUUAUUUACCUGUCCCGAAAGGGCACGGGAAAUCUUGUUAGGACGUGUCGUGCUGGGGAUAGAUCUUUGCAAUUAUAGAUCUUGAACGAGGAAUUCCUUGUAAGCACAGGUCAUCAGCCUGUGCUGAAUACGUCCCUGCCCUUUGUACACACCGCCCGUCGCUCCUACCGAUUUCGAGUGAUGUGGUGAACUAUCUGGACUGCGGAUGGGCUCGAACCAUUUGCGGGAAGUUUCGUAAACCUUAUCACUUAGAGGAAGGAGAAGUCGUAACAAGGUUUCCGUAGGU